UGGCGGGCCCAUCCCGGGGCCGCCGUAGACCAUCCCCAUCUGGAUCGUCUGCGGCGCGCCGCCGGCCAACAUGGCGGGGUCGAUGUGGCCGUGGCCGACCAUGAUGGGUCCGUUGGGUCCACCGAUCGCGGGGGAACCGACCCUGCCGCCGGGCCCGCCCUGCACCAUGGAACCGUCGAGAGCGAUCGGAGACAUGAACCCAGGCCCACCCCCGGGCGCGCCGCCGCUGUUGACGCCCUGCAGGCGCUUGAGGUAGAGGCGAUACUUUUGCAGAUGGCUCGCAACAUUCUCGCGGGUCAAACCCUGGACGCCCAUGAGGUCGAGGAUGCGCUUGGGCACAGCCUUGUCGAUGCCGAGCUGGUUGACGGCGGUCAC
rnacentral:lncRNA from 1 species